UCCCCCCUCCUCUCAGGCAGUUGUAGGGAGCAAUGAGGGCUCCCUUCAGCCUCCUCUUCUCUAGGCUGAACACCCUCAGUGCCCUCAAGCAUCUGAUGAGAGAAGAGCCCCUCUGAGGGACAUCAUGAGCACCUUCCUGGUGGGCUCUGGUGUGUCAGUGCAAUGCUGCGGGGUACCCUUCCAGCUGUAGCUGCCCAAGUAAAAGGGAAUUUAUACCACUCGAGCACCCCUUCCACGUCCCCCUCAGAGGGGGAGCACUGGGAGGCUAUGGAGCUGGGGACCCCUCUCCAUCUGUAUGUGCUGCAGUGCCUCCAGGCACUCCACACCGGCAGAGAAAAGCCAAGGGCCACCAAAGGUGACCUCCCCAAGGCAGCAGACAGUUGUUGAUGUGUGUGCAAUCCUCCUACCACUGGAGCAGGUGAGGGGGGAAUUCACCCCGCAGGGCUGGCCAGGAAAAGCAUGUUGUCCCCACAGCCCAUGCAGGAGAUAGGGCAGCCCUCGGGCGUGCUGUCCUUAUCACGGGGAGGGGAACUGAGCCCUGGGGAUCACUACUGCAACAUGUUCAUUAGUGCAAAGCUGUGCGUGGGGCGAACAUGUGCUACUGCAGCUCCGGCCUGGAGAGGGGUAGAGCACAGAAAGGCAGCGAGCAGCUUCUUCCCAUGUAGGGAUCUUUACCAAGGAGUCUGUGUCUUGUCCCAUCCCUGCUCCUGCUCUCGUGGCAAGCCCUUGCCCUGGGUGCUGUUGUGGGCCGGGCGGGCGGCUGCGCUGGAGGCUCCAGUCCUGUGGCCGGUGUCAGGCACCAGUGGAUGAUGUGUUUGCUCCCAAGCGUGGUGCCUCAUCCUGUGGCCCAGGAUCCCUCCCGCCCUCUUCCUGGUCCUAGGCCACAGUGCCAAGACAGCCAUCCUUUUCCCAAUGGCAAGGCGUGGAGAAAAUCCCCCUUGGCUCUCUCCUGCUGCUUGUUUCAGGACAGAGCUAAGGGUCUCUAGCCUCAGGAGGCUGUGUCUAGCCCAGGGCAGUAUCAGGAGCAGGAAAAAAAAAAGACAAAACAAGUCCCAACCUAUUUAACCCCUCUUCCUCUGCCUUUCAUGAGCAGGAUGUGUUUAUGCAGACAACACUGUGGGCUCUUUCCUCAGUGGUUGAAGCAGCUCAGAUGUCGGUGCUGUUUUGCUGGGGAUAUCGGCAGUGACUCAGGACAUCCUCUCUGUGUCCAUGUCGGCCAUGGUUACCCAGGUCGCUCCUGCUCUGAACAGCUUCAUGCCCUACCAGCCGGGACUGGGGGGAUGCUCAGCUGGGAAGGGAGCAGCCGGCUGGCUGCGCUGGCUGGCUCCUGCUCUUACUGCAGACCCCAGCACCAGAGGCUACAACAGAAUUGGAUGCCAAACGUUAACCAGUGAGAGGAGCGACUGGAGUGAACCUACUGUUUUCCUCAGCCACUUCAAAUGAGCCCACUUUUCAAGCAGGAUUUGUGCUACAUGAACGGUAAAACCAGUGUCGCUGUGAUUGCAAGGGCCUGCCGGAGCGCAACCAGAAAACUUGGAAAGUGCAACUUAGCGCAGGCUUUGAAAAUUCGGAUAUUGCUAAAAAGCAGCACUUGAGGGCAGCAUAGCACCACUGAAGAGCCGUUGCUGCUCACCUGUAGCUGUUUCCUCAGGAAAGGUGCACCCACCGCCAACCUCACAAGCGCUUUUCUGCAGAAGACAACACGCGCGUUCCUCUCCAUCGAAGCGCGCGACCCUCCCUGGCUGGCAUGCACACCGGGCUGCCAAUAACUUAUUUUAUUUCAGCCUUACCAAGUGGCUGCCACUUGCGCAAGCUGGCUGUAAAGCACCAGCAUGCACAAAAGCGUUCUUUGCUCCGGACCUGCACAGUUAUCAACCAAACUCAUCCGCGCUUUAGAAAUUAGGUGGAUAUAAGAUUUAAGGAUGUAAAUAAAAGUAGGUGCUGGGGAAUCUUUUUAGCUAUCAUCAAACUUCAGAAAUAGUUACCUUUGGCUCCUUCUCCCCUGCUGCCCCAGGUACAGAAGCAUCCUGCGUUUGCAAGGCUCUAUAACGACCUUUUCGAACAAUCAGAAAGUUUCUGCCCAAAGGCUUCAAGGCCCAAGUUUCAGGAUGAGUUUGUAGCUCCCAGGAUGCACAAACGAAGCUCAGAACUCUUCCUGCCUCUCAGCACCAGAGAGGGCCUUACAGUGAGUUAGAUUUGGGGGUCUUCUAGCAGAUCUGUUUUUGUUAAUGCCAACGUUUAUAUUCAAGCCGCUGCAUAAAAUUUUUGAAGAAUCAAAACUGACUCUGGUUCUUCCAUUAGAAAGA